UAGGGCUCAUCUAAGACUUAAAAUGGCGGCGUUUGUACCGAGGGAAAGUACCGACCAAGUACCGGGUGUGGAAAGCAGCCAAUGGACAAAUCUAUUAAGGAAAGUACAGAAACCCGCUAAUUUUUUGUUUUGUGG
ensembl:misc_RNA